UACGUAGGGUGCGAGCGUUAAUCGGGAAUUACUGGGGCGUAAAGCGUGCGCAGGCGGUUUUGUAAGUCUGUCGUGAAAUCCCCGGGCUCAACCUGGGAAUUGCGAUGGGAGACUGCAAGGCUAGAAUCUGGCAGAGGGGGGUAGAAUUCCACGUGUAGCAGUGAAAUGCGUAGAGAUGUGGAGGAACACCGAUGGCGAAGGCAGCCCCCUGGGUCAAGAUUGACGCUCAUGCACG
rnacentral:rRNA from 1 species